UGGUUCUGGCAUCGAUGAAGAACGCAGCGAAAUGCGAUAAGUAAUGUGAAUUGCAGAAUUCAGUGAAUCAUCGAAUCUUUGAACGCACAUUGCGCCCCUUGGUAUUCCGGGGGGCAUGCCUGUUCGAGCGUCAUUUCAACUCUCAAGCGCAGCUUGGUCUUGGGCUCUGCCGGUCACACGGCUUGCCUCAAAAGUAGUGGCGGUGCCGCUGAGCUCUACGCGUAGUAAUUAAACCCUCGCGUCUGAGCCUUGGUGAGCGCUGGCCAGCAACCCUCAUUUUAUACAGUUGACCUCGAAUCAGGUAGGGAUACCCGCUGA
rnacentral:misc_RNA from 1 species